rnacentral:rRNA from 1 species
CAGUAGCCGCGGUAAUACAGAGGGUGCGAGCGUUAAUCGGAAUUACUGGGCGUAAAGCGCGCGUAGGUGGUUUGUUAAGUUGGAUGUGAAAGCCCCGGGCUCAACCUGGGAACUGCAUCCAAAACUGGCAAGCUAGAGUACGGUAGAGGGUGGUGGAAUUUCCUGUGUAGCGGUGAAAUGCGUAGAUAUAGGAAGGAACACCAGUGGCGAAGGCGACCACCUGGACUGAUACUGACACUGAGGUGCGAAAGCGUGGGGAGCAAACAGGAUUAGAUACCCGCGUAGUCCCUGUCUCUUAUAC